rnacentral:rRNA from 1 species
UGAAGUCUCGGAGCCGGGUGUUGGUUCCGGUAGCGAUCGAGGGAAAUUAGUACCGAAGUCCGGGAUGGAAGAUGGCGAGAAAAGCUGUGUGUAUUUCUGCGGUGCCCGUACCGCAAACCGACACAGGUAGGUAGGAAGAAGAUUCUAAGGCCAACGGGAGAAGGGUUGUUAAGGAACUCGGCAAAUUGACCCCGUAACUUCGGGAGAAGGGGUGCUGCAGCAAUGCAGCCGCAGAGAAUCGGCCCAAGCAACUGUUUACCAAAAACACAGGUUUGUGCUAAAUCGAAAGAUGACGUAUACGAGCUGACGCCUGCCCGGUGCUGGAAGGUUAAGAGGAGAUGUGCAAGCAUUGAAUCGAAGCCCCAGUGAACGGCGGCCGUAACUAUAACGGUCCUAAGGUAGCGAAAUUCCUUGUCAGGUAAGUUCUGACCCGCAUGAAAGGCGUAAUGAUUUGGGCACUGUCUCAACAGCCCGCCCGGCGAAAUUGUAGUACCGGUGAAGAUGCCGGUUACCCGCGACAAGACGGAAAGACCCCAUGGAGCUUUACUGUAGCCUAAUAUUGGGUUUCGAUGUUGCAUGCACAGGAUAGAUGGGACACUGGGAAGCAGGUGCUUUGGCGCUUGUGGAGUGGCCGUUGGGAUACCAUCCUUGCGAUAUUGGAAUUCUAACCUGCGCCUUUGAGUCAAGGCGGGGGACAUUGUUAGGUGGGCAGUUUGACUGGGGCGGUCGCCUCCUAAAGAGUAACGGAGGCGUUCAAAGGUUCGCUCAGCUUGAACGGAAAUCAAGCAAAAGAGUGCAAACGCAGAAGCGAGCCUAACUGCGAGACUGACGGGUCGAGCAGUAACGAAAGUUGGAGUUAGUGAUCCGGUGGUAUGUGAGUGGAAAUGCCAUCGCUCAACGGAUAAAAGUUACCCUGGGGAUAACAGGCUGAUCUCCCCCAAGAGUCCACAUCGACGGGGAGGUUUGGCACCUCGAUGUCGGCUCAUCGCAUCCUGGGGCUGUAUUCGGUCCCAAGGGUUUGGCUGUUCGCCAAUUAAAGCGGUACGCGAGCUGGGUUCAGAACGUCGUGAGACAGUUCGGUCCCUAUCUGUCGUGGGCGCAGGAUAUUUGAUGGGAGCUGUUCCUAGUACGAGAGGACCGGAGCGGACGUACCUCUGGCGCACCAGUUGUUCUGCCAAGAGCAUAGCUGGGCAACUAUGUACGGAUCGGAUAAACGCUGAAAGCAUCUAAGCGUGAAGCCGACCCAAGGAUAAGAUAUCCCAUUGUUUCAAACAAGUAAGACCCCUUGAAGACUACAAGGUUGAUAGGCACGAUGUGUAAGUGGAGCGAUCCAUUCAGCAAGCGUGUACUAAUAGGUCGAGGGCUUGACCU